UCCCUAGGGGCUCAGUUGGUAAAGAAUCUGCUUGCAAUGCAGGAGACCCAGGUUCAAUCCCUGGGUUGGGAA
rfam:TPA: Bos taurus chromosome 23, whole genome shotgun sequence.